GGAAAACAGUAUGAAGGUUCCUUAAAGAAUUAAAACUAGAACUACCGUAUGACCCAGCAAUUCCACUUCAGGGGGAGGGGGUAAUACAUCCUGAGGAAAUAAAAUUACUAUCUGGAAGGGAUAUCUGCCCCCCCACCCUCCAUGUUCAUUGCAACAUUAUUCAUAACAGCCAGGACAUGGAAACAAUAUCUCAACGAAGCUGAGAAAGGAAAGCCUUCACAGCAACCUUCUGCAUACCCUUGUCCCCACUCUAUUGGAGAAGAAACUGAGGGCUCAUUUGCCAAAUGUUCACAUGGUCAGUAGGUGGCAGAUCCAACGUUCCAGCCCAGGUUGGCUCAACUCCGGGGCCCAUAUUCUUGGCUAAUUCACCUUCAACACCUCCAGGUCUUCAGAAAUCAAAGUCUUAAAUAAACUUUGAAUUGAAUGGAACUUAGCUUUGUCCUCUGGCACUUCCAGCAUAGAAGACAUAAAGAUCUUACUGACAUAACUAAAAUUUUCCUCAAUUGUCUUCCCACCCUCUGCCACCCCCAGUUGUUGACGCAAACAGUGGGAUGAGGCAAGAUCACCUGAGUGGAAGCACAGAAUGAAGCAGCACUAAAGAGGUGAAAAUAACCUCCCUGUACCCAAGUAAGCCUCCAGCAGAUUGGGCCCUGUGGGAAUCCUUGCACAGCCUCACUGCAACAGCCGUGCCUUGGGUUUCUGUUCUGCACUUUCCACAGACCGUGCAAAAAUGACACCUGGAAAGUAACUCAGCUCCCACUAGGCGAGCAGAGACAAAAAUAUGUCAUGGACUCCUAUAGAAGUCACUUCUUGUACAAGGUAAGAGGCCAUGCUGGACAGAAGUCCAGGGCUUGCGUCACAAGGAUUUGUAGGAACUGUGUAUAUUAAGAGAGGAAGCUAAGAAAGGGCCUCAGCUGACCCCAGAGACAGGACCAAACAAAUGAAUUUUCUUCAUUUUAAUUCACAUCUAACAUGCACAUGGAUAAAAUAAGUGUGGGCCUGGAAACAUUUACCAAACUGGACUAGUGACAUUUAAUUAAAGCAUUGUUGACCUUGCAGGAAGAAUUGGAGGCACUAAGGGAGGAGAAGAGCCUUCAUCCUCCUCUACUGCUUAAAGCCUUUCAGUGGCUCCCAUUCUCUUUGGGAGUAAUUCCUGCCAUCCCGGCCCAUUCUGAGGCCUGCACAGCAUGGCUCCUGCUCCGGCCCCAGGCCACACCCACUCCUGUGCUCCUGGGCUUCCAGAGAUCCUCUAACUCACUUUGCUCUCCUUGUCUCCGAAGUAGCUGUGCCCUGUACCUAGAACAAUACUUCCAUGCCCUCCUUACCAGCUGACACCUGCUCAUCCCUCAUAUCUCCACUUACUCACCACCUCCUCCUGGAACCGUCUCAGCUGCCCAGAGGUACAGCUCAGUAUGUUUCCUAAGUUCUCUCCUAAUGCCUCUACUCCCUAGUGAAGCACUCACGCUGAUGGAAAUUGCUUGAAAAAAUUUUCCCUGGGGGAAAGCUCUCUGAGGGUAGGGCCUAAAUAAUUGUAUCAUUACUGUGCAUCAAGUGGACAGUAUCAUGCUGGAAAUGUGAAACUACAGAUGAAUGGAGUAAAUGAACACAGAGAUAAAGCUUGAAUUAUUCCCUCUGCCUAUGAGAGGCCUCUUCCAUCUCCUCUGGAAAUAGACCCCUCUUGUCUUGUUGACAUGGUCUGUCCAAGCAGGGAAUGUUAAGCCAAGCCCACCCAGGUUCUUUGAGUUUGGCUGUGUCCCAUUAAAAAUAUAAUCCAUAAACCCAGGCCAAGGCUCCAUCCAUCAGACACCAAAGGCCAAGCCUGCCAUCAUCAAUAACAGGGCUGAUGUUGCUGUCAGUACCAGGAAAUGAGGAAAGUGAUGCAGGCCCAGCAACUCAGGGAUACCAGCAGCUGCACCAGCCACUGAGGUGGAUUGCCUUUGGAUGCCCAAAGAGCGUGUCUAAGAAACAAGGAGGACUCCUGUUCAGCAAGAUGAGAACUCUACAAAUAUGAAGCCUAGCUGGUGGAGAGAAAUUAAUAAAAUGUUACUUCAUGAUUUAACUAUAUAUUCAUUUUUCAUCUGGAUUAAAGAUAUACUACACUUUAUGAAUGAAAACAUGCUGCUAAUUAACAUUAAUCUACUCAGGAGAAGGAAAGUCAGUGUAGAUUCUUUUUAAUAUUAAAGUAGAGGUGUAAACCUAUCUCUUUAUUAUGUAUUAAAGUUAAUCCAACUAGGCUGGAGAAUAUUUUGGCAUUUUUCUGCUUUUGGAGUUGUCUGAAGGGGACUUCAAGGGCAUGAUGACAUGCCAGUGAAGCUACCUGCAGCAUUCGCCCCUAUACAAACUACGCUGGAGGACUCACACCCACCCUCCUCCCCAGCCCGUGGACUCCUGAAAGGUAGCCCAGGAAAGGCACAUUUUAGGUUAUUCACUCCGUUCUCAACAAAAUCCCUUCUCUGGAAAAUGCCCCUGGCCAAGCUAGCCAUUCCAGGCAUAUUCAUACUCCGCAACCCGCCCUCCUGGCUAUGGGUCACCUAAGUUGGGCCAGAGUUGGAAAUCUGAAAUCAGGGCUAAGAGUGCCCAGUUUCAGUCUGGACUGGUCCCUUGAGCAGAGGAGAUAUAAAGACCCGGGGGCUUUGAGGACAGCCACUUUCUGCCAAGUGGACCAAACAGUAGAGAAAGCCAGCAUGGAGAAAAGCAGCAGGAAGCCCCUGCAGAAGUAACAGAGACAAGAGAGGGACUUCCUGGGUUCCCACACCUAGGCCCUCCCUGCUCCCUCUCUCCAAUGCUUUUCCCCUAACCUUGUACCCCUGUCCAUUGUAAACGAAUUACUGGACACCCUCAGACUCCAUAGAGUUCUACCUCCACCUGACUGACCCUUCUUGACUUGAUCAAAAGCUGACUUGGAAGCAUGCUGAUUUUGGUACUACAUCAUGUUUACCUCCCCAGAUCAUGAGUGCACAGACACAUUGCUUUCCUAGCACCUAGAUGUGCUCAACACACAUUUAUUGAAUGAGUAUUGAUAUCACCUUUCUUGAAGGGCUCUCAGUGGAGGUUGCUCAUUCACUUGAUUCCCACAUACCAUGAAGGCAGGUGGAUGGACAGUCUUCAUGCUGCCACUGCUGCUUCUAGACAUCACUCCUCCUCCCUUAUAAAAACAAAAAACACAAACAAAAAUCCAACAGCAACCAGUCCUGAGGUUUGUGACAUCACAGUCGUCUAUACAUGUUGACUUAAUUCCUCAAACCAAGUUCCCCCCAUCCUAACAGGGACCCUCAUCAGUCCAAGGUUUGAUUCCAUCCAUCAAUAAUUUCUCCUCAGGGUUUCACAGAAUCCAUUUCAGGGUAACAUUUGAGAAUGGCCUGCUGAGAACUGAUUUGUCUGGUCCAGGUAGCAUGAGAGCUGUGCAUGUGGAAAACAAUUAGGACCAGAGAGAUUCUUCCCACACAAUCAGAGAGCAGGGAAACAAAGGAUCAAACAAUGAUUUUCUUCUGAGAACUAAAAGCAGGACACUGAAAGCCUGCCUUCACUUGGUGCAUUUUUAAAUGACUCUUCUGCUACUUAAAAGGUUUUAGCCUACUUCCUGCUCUGAAACUCUCAGGAACUAGAGCCAGACCCUACGUACCACAUAUAUCCUGAAAGAACUGCAAUUCCAGAAGAGGUUUUCAAUCCAUUAGAACACUGCAUCCUGCAGACUAUCAUCUCUCUGUAGACAAAGAUCAACUUUGUCUUAUUCAUUAUUGCAGACUCAGUGCCUAGCACAGUGCUUGAUACCAAAGGAUGCCUCAAAGCAUAUUUGUUGAAUGAAUGUUUUUAAAAUAUUUUCUUAGAGUCAGGAUUAGCCUAAGCAGAAACUGAAGUGAGUUCAGGGCUGGCGAAAAUUACAUUUUAUCAUAGUUAGGUAUUAAGUUUUUAAAUUUGCUAUGACUAUAUGUUAUUUAGACAAAUAACUUUACUGUUUUAACUAGUUUUAAAAAUGGCCAAAUUAACACAUGGUAUUACCUUGAACACGGUUAUUCACAUGUAGGAGAAAGAAGCUGAAUCCAGACAGUACCAUCUACCUAGUGCAAGUGAUGUGGAUCAAAGAUAGACUGCAAAGGAGGGAAUCAACAGCUCUGGAACACCACCCUUGCAAACCUGAACCUAUGACGUGGCGGCAAUUGUUCCAUGAGGAGUUGAUCCCAACCACUCCCAGGAAUUGUCCUGUAGGACAGUCAUUUGGUAGCAGGGCUGGGAGGAAAACAGGAGCAGCCAUGUUGAAACCUCACAGCCAGUGACUGGACUAGGAGAACCGGCACCAGAGGAGUCUCCCAUGAUGCCAUGUUCUGAGGCACUUCAGACUGGCGCCACCAGGAGGCCCAAUUCAAUCAAAGUUGCUUUUGUGCUACUCUUCCUGUCAUUAGUUUACAACAUGUCACUGGUCCUUGUGCUACACAGACAGGUAAAUUCAAAUAUUUCACUGGCUCUUUCCUAUCCUGUCAGCUCUUCAGCUCUCUGCCAUCUCCCCAGUGAAGAGCUCUGUAGAUUCUCCAGAAUGAACAGGAAAUAAUAAUUGUAAAAAUGUUUUAAAUAAGUAAAGUCCUGGCAGGUUUCAUGUGCUCUCCCCCUCAGUAUCAGAUUCUCUCAUUAACCUUCACAGGGUCAAAACUGGGAAAUAAAACUUAGAAAACCUUCUAAGGAAAUGAGAUUAUUUUUAGCAGAAAGAGCCACAUAACAAUGUCUUUCAAGUGUAGGAAUGGCUUUCACACAGUGAAGAGCUACUUUUCAUCUCCUCUAAACAAAGAACAAGAAGAGCCCAGUUUUAGUUGAAACUUGAGGAAUUUAACUUCGAUAAUAUUACUUUUGGUUCUCUGAUAUUCCUUCCAUGGAAUUUUUUUUUUUAAGUAGGGUAGAUUCUCAUCUUUCUGAAAUGCUUUUAAACAAUUCAGCCUGAAUGCAGAAGAUGGAGCAAAUGGUCUUUUAAAGACUCCUCAUCUUCAAGAUGUUGGACAUGCAGGAGCUUCAAGAGGAAACUGUAUUUUGUCAUUUGAUGGCCAAUUCCAUUCUACCAAACAUUUCUAAAACACCAGAUACAAAUUUUCAUACAGAUGAUGACCUAACAGCUUUCUCCUUCAUUUAAACCUACUGGUUGAUUUCCUCUCCUAGUUAUUGAGAACUGUCCACCCUUCCUCCAAUUGUUCUGACAUGUUUCCUCAGACACUUUCAUCCUAUCCAAGUCCCUGUGAACUCACACUAUGUCCUCUGCAAUAAAGAGGGGCCUUUCCCCUUAAAUCAUACAAUCUUCUAAAAAAGGAGAUUAUUAACCAUUGUGUCUUAGUUAAAUUUCAACAUGGGAAAUUAGGUUUUGCCUUCCUACAAUUUCCUCGUCAUUUUAAUUAGAAAUACUAUUUAAUAUCCCACUCAAAACGAAACUUGUUGCAGAGAGGGUUGCCUCAAAGGGGCCUGCCUUUUCUAGCACAGAGGAGGCGACAUUUCAGAGAUGUAUGACUAAUACUCCUGGGGCAGGAGCUGAGUACAUUGGGAUCCUUUGAGAGUAAAGGUACCUCCAAAGGAUAAAAUUGAUUUUUAUUUUAUGCCUGCGGUAGACAAUUCCAUAAGACAGAUUUUUCCCUCCAGCAUUUUGCAGCAUCUUCUAAAAUUCAGAAUCAAGGCAAGAGCUGCUUGGUAACAUUGUGUGGAUGACGCAUUAUACGGAGCUGACUCUGUGACAUCAUGCUGUCUUGUUCUCAGUUAGAGCAACCCCAUGUGCCUGCCCUGUACUCCCCAGCCCUGUGAGUCACUGCAUGAUAUAUUAUCCAGGAAAUGCACAACGAUGCUUUUCUAAAAACUCACGAUUACAAAAUUGAGGCUUCCGGCCUGGGAAUGUAGAGUGAAAAAAGUAAACUCUCAAAAGGAGUGGGUUCUCAUUUCUGUUUUUCUUCUCAUUAUUAAGUAUAGGAUCCUACAAGGGAUUAUAGUCUUUAAGCAUUGCAAGUGAUUAUUGUUUUUUGCCAUUUUAUUGCCUCAAAACUGAAGUUUAUUUUCCACCAACAAGAACUUUCCAUUAUGAAUAGCUAUGUCACUCCACAUCCUAAGAACCUUUUAUCAUCAAAAAUGGCUAAAUAUCUAUGCAUUCAUUAUGAAUGCUGAAUACAAUUGGCUAAAUAAGCUCCACUCAUGCCUGAAGAAUCCUAUAAUACAAAACAAUUUGAUACAUACAAACUUGUAGUGGAUUUGAAUGAUGAUAAAAUAAAUAAAAUAUUGAGGAUAAUCUACUAAAGAGAAAACAAAAAUUUGGCUUUAUCCAAAUACUUCUAAUCUGAGAAAAGAAAAUCGUGCUGGACCCCAAAUAGUGGGAACUCAAAGUUGAAAAUCUUUUCUUCUGUCUCCACCUUCCAAAUUUCAGUAAAUAAAAGAAUUAGUGAACAAAAGAGUCAGUGAACAAAAAUUGAGAGAACGAUAGAAACAGCAGAGAUUAAUCAAGCCAAGAUGUUAACAAGGAUGGAAUCUCUUUCUGGCAAGGCUGACCUUUCCAAACCAGUACAUAGUAUUUCUCACUCCUGGAGCUUAAGACUCUAGGACAGCUAGACAAAUUAGCCAGAGUGCAGACCCCCAGGGUUGAAAAGCAAUCAGGCAGAGAGUACACAUUAAAUACCCUCCCUUGCCUCAAAAACACCAUCCUUCUCCUAUUGGAAAUGUACCGUUAGCGGCAGGGCAGCAUUGCUUGGGGUUUGAAUGGUAUAGGCUUGAUUUGGAUCAUCCCCAUGAAGGCGACACUGUGGGUUCCACAGAGAAGAAAUCACUCUGGGUAAUCACUUUAACAGGCAAAGAAACCUCUGGAACCACUAUUGGAUUUGGAGGUCAGCCAACCAGGCAGAACCUGAAGGAGCCUCUGGACCCAGACACUCUAAUACACCCCCCGAGGAAUUUUAGUUCUUUCUGUCCCACACUCCACUUGUUUAACAGCAUGGAACAAUGAGGGUCACUCAAGUCCUCUUCAGUGAGUCCGAGGCUGAGAACUCAGUGGGGCUUCCAGGAAUACUUCAUGUUACAGGUACAUACAUGCCUGACAACACAUUCCCUUUGGUUUCACAGUUAUAACAUGGGCUGUAGAGGUGGGGCAGGAAACUGAGAGUUAACUUUACCUUUUUCCCAACGAUUACUCUGGGCCAGCCAUGGGAAAUCCCAUUAGAGGCUCCAAAUGGGUUCAAAGUCAAUGUCCUGGAGGAAAUAACUAUUACAGCUAUAAAAAAAUGUUGUCAAAAUUUGGAAGUUAUAAUGAUGCUCAUCCAAGGACCUAGAAAUAAUGGUCAUAGCAUGGCUUAAAAUCAAUGUACAAGAGUAAAAGAUACACAAAGUCAUCUUUGCCUAAGACAAGAUGGCUGCCAAACUGGCAGGUUCGACCAUAGCUUCAUUGAAAGUAACUGCUAUUUUAAAAAAGACCAACUCAAUCAGAAGAAAGAUUUGUCACUUUUGGAAGCUUUUAUGGCUACCAGCUACUGAUGUUAUAAAAAAUAACUUAAUAGUUGCAUAGAUAGAAACUGCCAAACUGUUUUCCAAAGAGGCUGUGCCAUUUUACAGUCUCACCAGUAAUGUAUCAGUGAUCCAGUUUCUCUGCAUCCUUGUCAGCAUUUGGUAUUAUCAUUUUUUUUAGCCAUUCUGAUAGAUGGGUAGUGAUAUCUCAUUGUAGUUUUAAUUUACAUUUCCCCAAUGGGUAAUGAUAUUGAACAUCUUUUCAUGUACUCCUUUGCCAUAUAUAUAUCCUCUUUAGUGAAAUGUCUCUUCAUAUCUUUUGAUCAUUUGGUAAUUUAGUAUUUGUUCUUUUACUGUUGAAUUUUGAGAGUUCUUCAUAUAUGCUAGAUACUAGUCCUUUGCCAGAAAUGUGGUUUGCAAAUAUGUUCUCCUGGUGGGUAGCUUUUCUUUUAUCCUCUUAACAGGGUCUUUCACAGAGCAAAAGUUUUCAAUUUUGAUCAAGUAAAAUUUAUCAAUUUUCCUUUUAUGAAUUGUGCUUUUGGUGUCCAGCCUAUGAACUGUUUGUCUAGCCCUAGAUCCCAAACUGAAUUUUCUCCUACAUUUUUUUCUAAAAGCUUUAUAGUUUUGCAUUUUACAUUUAAGUCCAUGAUCCAUUUUGAGUUAAAUUUUGUAUAAGGAAUGAAGUUUAGGCAAGAUUGUCGGUGUCGCAAUCCAAUGUACGCAUCAGGAUAGAUGUGGAGAGGGCUGAUGGCCACUCAGAGUUUAUUAUAACCAGCGUUUCAAUAUAUACAUAGCUUACAUCUGUUAAACAUACAGAGGUGUUCUGGAUGAAGUAAUUAGCGAAUGCCAAGAAUUCUUAGUGAUUUCUCAAGGAGCCCUCCUUCAGCCUCCGUUUUGAUAUUAUCAUAUUAUUGCUGUGCUUGUAUAUUUUUAUCUCGGAGCAGGCAAGGUCUCCUAGGCAAUGGCCCCUCCUGCUCCCAAUAUCGAUAUCGU